rnacentral:rRNA from 1 species
CCAAUAGCGUAUACUAAAGUUGUUGCAGUUAAAAAGCUCGUAGUUGAAUUUCAGGCCUGGCUGGACGGUCCGCCCUUCGGGUGAGUACUGUCUGUGGUCGGGUCCUACCUUCUGGCGAAGCGUCAUGGCCUUAACCGGCCGUGGCGGGGAACCAGGACUUUUACUGUGAAAAAAUUAGAGUGUUCAAAGCAGGCAAAUCGCUUGGAUACAUUAGCAUGGAAUAAUGGAAUAGGACAAUGGUUCUAUUUGUUGGUUUCUAGGACCGUUGUAAUGAUUAAUAGGGAUAGUUGGGGGCAUUAGUAUUCAAUUGUCAGAGGUGAAAUUCUUGGAUUUAUUGAAGACUAACUACUGCGAAAGCAUUUGCCAAGGAUGUUUUCAUUAAUCAAGAACGAAAGUUAGGGGAUCGAAGACGAUCAGAUACCGUCGUAGUCUUAACCAUAAACUAUGCCGACUAGGAAUCGGGCGAUGUUGACAAAAUGACGCGCUCGGCACCUCAUG